rnacentral:lncRNA from 1 species
GAAAUAAAUCCUAAUGAACCCACAAAUAACACAAAUAAGCCCUAAAAUGCAAAUAAGCCCAAAAAUAAAAUAAACCACAAAUAAACCCUAGAAUGCAAAUAAGCCCAAAAAUAAAAUAAUAAAAUAAAUAUGCAAAUAAACGAGUCUGGCUCAAUCCGGGGGCUCAGGAUCAUCUGGAUGAAGGGCUCUGAUGUCCCCAUCAACUCCUUCCGGGUGAGAAAAACUCGACCCCGUCGAGUACAGGUCUGGCCGGCUGUCGUACUGCUCCAGAAAAUCAGGGUCAAGGCGCUGCAACUCGGCUCGCGAAAUCCACGUCACAUCUAAUUCGGCUCGACCUUUCCACCGAACAAGGUAACGUUGGUAGCUUCCUCUCCUGGUAGAAAUAACCUGCUCAUCUAAUAUAUGUUCUAUGUGUUCUCUGCGUGCAUGAAACUUUGGAG